AGCCUUUCCACUCAAUGAGGUGGGCCACCCGGCCACGAGCCAUGGCAGUGGGCUUGGUGAUGUGGUCCUUUAUGGUCUGGACUAACCCUAAAGCAGAGACAGGGGAGGAGCUGGACUGAAGUGGGCGGGAUUCAGACCAGUGGGAUCAACGCGUCAAGACUUGGUGCUGAAGGAACAUCCUGCAUGACUGAUCAUGUCCAUGCUGGGUGGGCAUCUGCACUGUGGUAGCCAGCCCCCAGCCAGCCAGCCCCACUCACCACAAUCCUCUCCUAAGGGGACACUACAGCAGCUGGCUUGGAUAUCUGCAGGGGGCUUCCCUAAGGAACUGGUAGGGAAUCUAGAGGAAUAUUUAUAAGAUGUUGCUUGGUUUGGGAUUGAGGGGACUUGGCAGAGCUGUGGGUGGGACCCAAGAUGGAGUAGCGAGGGGCUGCAGGUCAGGAUUGAGGGGCGCUGGCAGAGGUCUGGGUGGGACCCGAGAUGGAGUAGCGGAGGGGUGAAGGUCAGGAUUGAGGGGCGCUGGCAGAGGUCUGGGUGGGACCCGAGACAGAGUAGCGGAGGGGUGCAGGUCAGGAUUGAGGGGCGCUGGCAGACGUCUGGGUGGGACCUGAGAUGGAGUAGCGGGGGGCUGCAGGUCAGGAUUGAGGGGCUCUGGCAGAUCUCUGGGUGGGACCCGAGAUGGAGUAGCGGAGGGGUGCAGGUCAGGAUUGAGGGGCGCUGGCAGAGGUCUGGGUGGGACCCGAGAUGGAGUAGCGGAGGGGUGAAGGUCAGGAUUGAGGGGCACUGGCAGACGUCUGGGUGGGACCCGAGAUGGAGUAGCGGGGGGCUGCAGGUCAGGAUUGAGGGGCUCUGGCAGAUCUCUGGGUGGGACCCGAGAUGGAAUAGCGGGGGGCUGCAGGUCAGGAUUGAGGGGCGCUGGCAGAGGUCUGGGUGGGACCCGAGAUGGAGUAGCGGAGGGGUGCAGGUCAGGAUUGAGGGGCGCUGGCAGAGGUCUGGGUGGGACCCGAGAUGGAGUAGCGGGGGGCUGCAGGUCAGGAUUGAGGGGCGCUGGCAGAGGUCUGGGUGGGACCCGAGAUGGAGUAGCGGGGGGCUGCAGGUCAGGAUUGAGGGGCGCUGGCAGAGGUCUGGGUGGGACCCGAGAUGGAGUAGCGGGGGGCUGCAGGUCAGGAUUGAGGGGCGCUGGCAGAUCUCUGGGUGGGACCCGAGAUGGAGUAGCGGAGGGGUGCAGGUCAGGAUUGAGGGGCGCUGGCAGAGGUCUGGGUGAGACCCGAGAUGGAGUAGCGGGGGGCUGCAGGUCAGGAUUGAGGGGCGCUGGCAGAGCUACUUGCAGGAUGCCAUGGACUGGGAUAGCAGGCUGGAACUGAAGUGCACCAUCGCCCCUGCCUUGUAACCUGAGACUCAGGCUCCCUUUCUGGAUGGUGAAGUGCCCCUGCUUGGGCAAUGUGGGGUAAUGUUUUUCUCCCAGCGAAAGCGCCCCCUGCAGGGCUGCGGCAGCCCUUCUCGUAGCCCUUUUUGCGUGGCUGGAGCUUGGAGCUAUUUCCCCGAGGCAGCUGCAGUUUUGCAUGUCUCGUUGAGCUGGGAGUUACGUGGCACUUCGCAGGGCAAGCACUGCAGCGCUCUGAGGGUGCACUGACGUGGUAUCUAACCGGGACCCUCAACAGAGCACAGCAAAUCAUGGCAUUCAAGAGGCACUAGACCCCCGCGGCUGGCUCCAGUCAGCUGACUCAGGCUCGUGGGGCUUGCGUGGCGGGGCUAUCAGACUGCAGGGUAGACAUUCAGCUCGGGCCCUCGUGAGGAGGGAGGCCAGCCGCGGGUGUUUAACUGCAGCGUAGACACGGGCCCGAAGAUGCCACCUUGCACUACGAAGAAUUUCUCCAGGGUGAAGUUAGCACUGGUGCAAGGAGCUGGAUAGGCUAUUUACCAUUGACCCCAGCUCAGGUACAGCACAAGCAGAGCAUCUGCCUCUGGGGCCAGAGGGAUAGUCAGUCUCCAGGGCUCAUUCAUUCGAUGGCUUUUUUGCUGAGUACCAGCUCUGGUGAUAGUCACCAGUUCACUAGGAACUGGACUGAGACUCCUCAAACUCAUCAUUCCAUAUGGGCCAGUCUUCAGAUAGUCACUGCUCUGAAUGACUUGGGCUGGAUCCCAGUUUACUGGUGAUAAAAUUUUGGACAGCUCACCCAGGGGUGAUUCCAAAGCCAACUGAAGCCCCUGAGGGAAUAUCUACAUUUCAAUUAAACGCUUAGGGCUGGCCUGUGCCAGCUGACUCGGGCUCACAGGGCUCGGACUAGGGGGCUGUUGAACUGGUUUUCCAGGCUUCUCGGACUCUGCCAGGAGCUCUUGCAGCAGGGGAAACAGGAAGAGCUGCCUAUCAUAUGCAGUCAUGGCUGAGAAAGAAGCCACUUUUAUAAAUCCGAGGAAAGGGCAGUGGCUAGAGCAUUGGCCACACCUCUGGAUGGCCCUUGCCCCACCCGAAUUGGGGAAGCAGAUAAUAAAAGCCUGCAGCUGCUUUCUCUGUAGUGUGAUGUGCUUGUUUAGGAGACCAGCUGGCCCAGCCCUAAGUGGAUAGAGGAAGAGGCUAAGCAUCUCUCCCAUGCUAGCCAGUCCCCCUUGAUCAUUAGCUUCUGCUACUUUGCUAAAAAUCACAAUUUCUGUUUAUCAUAAAAUUCACUGUGGUUUUUCCCCCUUGCUAAGCCAAUAGGAAGCUCCCCAUGGUCUCAUGGGAUUUCCAGGUGCUCUGGGUCCUGAAGACCUGAACCCUGGUCACAGUGCUGCCCCCGGCAUCGCCCCAGCUGUGAGCAGUGUUCCCCCAAAUCUGUCUGCUCUGGGUCAUCUCCUGAGCAGGUUCUGUCUGUUGUGCUAAUUGAUGACAGUAGAACAUAGUCGCAGCGGGAGGCCAUGGCAGGAGAGGCGACUGCCAGGGAGCCAGGGCCAGUCCCAGUCCCAGUCCCAGUCCCAGUCCCAUGGAGGGCUCUGGAGACCUUGAACCAGACUCUGUGUUCAGGAGGGAGACGGGCUGCUGUAUUUUGUAACAUCUGGGGCUUUGUCGGGGCAUGUGGCUCCAUUCCUAGAUACAAUGAAUUGCAGCGCUCAGGCCUAGAGGUCGGGAAUGUAGGGGUCAAUGUGGCCAAGUCUGUGUCUGGUGGGAUGGGGCAUAAUCUCCUGGCCAGCUGUAGACGGGGAAGGGCAUUAUUUUGCCACCCUGGUCAUCUGGGGUCUGACAACAUCCAGGGGCAGCUGUGCAAUCACCUGAGGCCAGGUGUCCCCAGUAGAGGGGGAUGAUAGAGAAGACGCUAGAUCCCCCUUUCCACCACAUCCCCUCAGCCACUUGGGCCAGCUUUACCCACCGCUUGCCAUCCAGGUGCUGCCCUUGGCUGGGCACGGAGAGACUUGGGUAUUGUGUCCGGGCUGCCCUACCAGCUCCCCGAAUGGCUCCAUGUAGCUGUUGAGAGGAUGUGGAGGCGGGUUGGGACUGAAGGGCACCAGCAGCGCUGGAUGGGAGCCUGGACUGGGCUGGGAGGGUUUUGGAGGCAAACAAACAGAUACCCGUGAUGCUCCGAGGGGAUGGACCAGAGCCAUGUCUGCCCCCUCUCCCACCCCAUGCCGUGCUCCGAGCAGAAUCGUCCUGUCCCCGGCACUGGGGCCCUUUCUCCUCGGUGGCUCUGGGAGCUGGGCCCUGGGCAGGCAGCCUGGGGGAUGAUUCCAGCACUGUGGGCCUUGUGGAGAAAAGAGAAUCAGGCCAGCAGGGCCAGCCAGCUGGCGGUUUCCAUGGAAACAAACGCCUUAUUAAUCUCCACUACACACAAUUAAUUACGCCGGGGGGAGGGACGGUCGCGGCUGCUGCUGAAAGCAGAUAAACUCCCUUCCCUCUCCAGUGCAGAGGCAAUUAGAGCCGCUCAGCCUGGCCUGUGGGGUCCGGCUGGUCUCUGGCCUGGGGAGGAGGCUGCUUGUUGUUAUGGGCAGCGCUAGCUUCUUGCAAGAGCCAUGGGCAGAUCUGAGAUCUGAAAGGCGUGAUGGCAUGGACCAGAGGAUUUGGAUGGCUCUACCCAGACCGAGCAGUGGCCCUACCCCUACAGAACUAAGGACGCUUUAGUCUCGUCAGCCUUCGAGGGCAGCUGCGGGCACUUGCUGACUGUCACGGUGAGUGGAAGGAGGACACUGUAGGUGGCUGGCGAUAGAAUAUUCCUUCUGAGCACUUGUGAAGAAUUCUGCAACCGAAGGAGACAAGAGAUGGGUGACAGAGACGUGCUGGGCCUGGGAGCAAAGUCCUGGAAAUAUAAGAAGUCCCUCUAGUGCAAACUGAACAGCGUUGUGUGCAGGUGAUAGAAUCAGCAAUGAAGAGAGCCUAGACCAGGCACAACUACCUACAUCACUCGUGCUACAGAAGAAAGGAUGGAUGGAUUUGGAACAUUUUUACAAAUGCCCAAUAAUGGCUCCCUAAACAGGUGUUUCUUUGGCAACCCCAGGGCAGGAGACAGAGAGGCGAACCUAGAGGGUAGAACUGAUCAAUGAAAUUGUUUUUAAUUGUUCACUUUAUUAAUAUAACUUCAUAAGUAAAGUAUGAUGAAUGAAACUACAUUCAUUCAUAAAACCAGGUACCCCAAUAACUGGCUAAUUGAGUUUCACUUUCAAUCCAAUUGCUGCUGAAAUAGCUAAAACUUGCACUGCUUCAACAUUGUAACUCUGCUCCCUGUUUGCCGUUCCUUACCCUUGUCCAUGGUGUAAUCCAAACUCCAUUUUAACUUGUCCCAAACUCCAUUUUAAAAUGCUCACUUCAUUUUUGCAAAACCCGGCUGUAAUCUGAUUAGUGUAGUUUAGAUGUGGGAAUGAGGUAUGUAUGGAUGAUGGAAUCAACCUCCAGCCCCAGGCUGUCCUGAUGAAAUAAAGUGUAAACACCAAAGGCUGAAGAUGCAGACAGCAGGCCUGACAAAGCAAGAAGAGUCCACCCUCAAAAGAAAAGAGCAAAAGUACAAUUGAAGAAACAUCAAAGCCAGGUCCCAGGCUGAAAGUCAUGUCUGCAAUUGACGGGUGAUCAGUCACACCGGACCCAGAGGCCGCGUGACACAGCAAGACCUGUAAACUCUGGAUUCAAACUAAAGCCUACAAAAAGGAUGGAUGAGAUGGAAGACUUUGGAGGGUAACAUUCUGCUGCCAACAUGGAAGGGCAUCGGUGCAUGCCCAACAGAAACCCAGCCCUUCCUUGUGCUCGGCUUUCCUGGCCAGUUAGCCGCCACAAGCUACGAACCCAAGCCACGAAUUCAAGCUACAUUCAGGACUGGUAACUAUCCAGCAGCUGCAGAACAUUUGAUGUGUGUGUGUGUGUGUGUGUGUGUAUACAUAGGUAUUAGAUAUGAGUUAUUGGUCUUAAAUCCAAUUGUGUUAUUAUAAUAAACGAGACCUCUUGUCUUGUCCCCUGGAACGAUCCUGUGCAGUUUUGUCUGUAUAACAAGAGCACCCGCAUAGCACGAUAAUGGCUGAAGGAGUGUUAUUGCACCCAAAUAUAAAAGUGAUCGGAAAAUGAGCCCAGGAUGGGAGUAAUUGGGCUGUUUGCCUGAUGCACCUAAUCGUGUGGGCAGGCUGAUGAUGAUGAGAAAACACCUGCCCUUAAAGCUCUGGGAGCUAGGACAGCAAUUGACACACCUGGUCCAUACAACAGAUACAUCAGGUACAACUCCGACCCAUGUAGCCACACGCCAGGGCAAUCAAAUAGAGGAGAAUUACCCGAGCCCACUUAGACAGCUCCCAGCCAUCGCUAAUUCCAUCCCCAAAGGCCAAGAAAGCCCAUGCACCCACCACGAUUCCCUGCACAUCAAUGCAUUUGCAAUAGUUUGGACCAAGAGGAGAACAAAUUUUAAAGUCGAGAGCCCUUCGUGGGAAAUGCCAGGCGCCAGCUCCCGCUGUAAAGCAGUAUUUGUGGCCCACAAAAUAAAUUGCACAGCCAGGCAAGCAGCAGGAAAAGCUCAGGAAGACAGGCAGGGAGGUGAAGUGUAACAGAGAUGGGCAAAGGCCAUUGCAAGAGCCUGCGCUCUUCAAGGUGACCUGCGUUAGGAGAUAUAAUUGGGCCCUGAGCCCUCUAAUGCUGGGAUGGACACAAGGCCUGGAAGACAGCUUUGGAUUUUUCCUGUUUGGUGCUUAUUUUGCAUUCCAAAUUCGGGUCUUGCCUACUCUAGGUUUCCAGGGCGACACUAGGUCUGGUUGGAGACCUGGUCAGAUCCGAGCCUCAGGAGUGUCAUGCGAGUAAAAGCUGAUUAACAGAGGGGGAGGGAGGUGAUUUUGUUCAGACUCUUUAAACCGGUUGGCUUUGCUUUGUGGCAAACAGGCAUUUGAGUCAAACGCAUGGCAAACGCUUGGGAACAAGCGCAU